AUGGGUGGCACCAUGUCGCUGGCGCUGCCAGGCUGCCCUGACAAGUGUGGCGAUGUGCUCAUCCCUUACCCCUUUGGUGUCGGGGCUCAAUGCUCCGCAGUCAGCCUCAACAGCUUCUUCAAUCUUGACUGUAAAAACGCCUCUCACCCGCCACGGCCAACGGCGGGGGGCCCGGCCGACAUAGCUGUUGACGUCGUUGAUAUCUCACGGGAGCAUGGUGAGAUCCGGAUGCUCAUCCCGGUCAGCUACAUCUGCUUCACAUCAAGUGCCGUAGUAUCGGCCACCAACAACGAUACUGUGUGGUUCAGCCUGCAGGACACACCGUUCAUCCCAUCCCCUGGACGGAACCGCUUCACGGUCAUUGGCUGCAACACCAUGGGGGUUGUUAGCGGUUUCCGUGGGGUCAGAAGUCAGUACCUCGCUGGCUGCUAUUCUUACUGUGAUGGUGCCAGCGAAAAAGAGAUCAGGAUAGCCACUGAUAACUACAACGAAGAUCGAGUUCUUGGAUGCGGCGGUCAUGGAAUGGUCUACAGGGGUACCUUGGAUGACCUCAGAGAGAUCAACCACCGGAACAUCGUGAGGUUACUUGGCUGUUGCCUGGACAUAGAUGUCCCAAUGUUGGUCUACGAGUUCGUCGCCAACGGGACGCUGUAUGAUCUUCUUCACGGCAGUCCUGAUCACAAUCCUUCACCAAUUCCAUUCGAUCUCCGCCUGAAGAUUGCAACACAAUCAACAGAAGCUCUUGCGUACUUGCACUCAUCAACAUCUCGCACGAUUCUACAUGGGGAUGUCAAAUGUUCCAACAUUCUAUUGGAUGAUCAGCAUGAUGCCAAGGUUGCGGACUUUGGGGCAUCGGCGCUCAAGUCCAUGGAUGAAAGUGAGUUCAUCAUGCUUGUCCAGAGAACCCUUGGCUACCUCGACCCCGAGAGCUUCAUGAGCCACCUCCUCAGUGACAAGAGCGAUGUCUACAGCUUUAGGGUCGUUCUCCUCGAGCUGUUGACGAGAAAGAAAGCUCUAUACACUGAUUACAACUCCAGCGAGAAGAGAUCAUUGUCCCAUAAUUUUCUCCUUAUGUUUCGCCAAAACAAGCACCAAACAAUGCUGGAUUCUGAGAUCACAGAUGAUGAUGCGGCCAUGGUGGUCGUCGAGAAGCUUGUCAUCCUCACUGUUGACUGCCUGAGUGUGAGAGGGGAGGACAGACUGACGAUGAAGGAAGUCGCGGAGCGGCUGCGGGUGCUUUGGAGACACCAGAUACAUGCUUCCGGUGCUGGCGAAAACGGUUGUGAGUUUGAUAGCAACUAUGGAAUAUGGCCGUCAUCUGUAAUUCUUCCUUUGGACGAGAUGACAGACGGAAGCUUGGAGAUGUGCAAACUGGUGCGGGACAUAUAG
rnacentral:rRNA from 1 species